rnacentral:rRNA from 1 species
UACGUAGGGUGCGAGCGUUUGUCCGGAAUUAUUGGGCGUAAAGAGCUCGUAGGCGGUGUGUCGCGUCGGCCGUGAAAACCUGCAGCUUAACUGUGGGCUUGCGGUCGAUACGGGCAUCACUGGAGUUCGGCAGGGGAGACUGGAAUUCCUGGUGUAGCGGUGAAAUGCGCAGAUAUCAGGAGGAACACCGGUGGCGAAGGCGGGUCUCUGGGCCGAUACUGACUGAGGAGCGAAAGCGUGGGGGAGCGAACAGG